ACUUCCAUAGUGUAAUGGUAACACAUUAACUCUCACAGUGAAAGAUCCUGGUUCAAAUCCUGGGGGAAGUC
rnacentral:tRNA from 1 species